UCUUCCGCAAUGGACGAAAGUCUGACGGAGCAACGCCGCGUGAGUGAUGAAGGCUUUCGGGUCGUAAAACUCUGUUGCUAGGGAAGAACAAGUGCUAGUUGAAUAAGUUGGCACCUUGACGGUACCUAACCAGAAAGCCACGGCUAACUACGUGCCAGCAGCCGCGGUAACUCGUAGGUGGCAAGCGGUAUCCGGAAUUAUUGGGCGUAAAGCGCGCGCAGGUGGUGUCUUAAGUCUGAUGUGAAAGACCACGGCUCAACCGUGGAGGGUCAUUGGAAACUGGGAGACUUGAGUGCAGAAGAGGAAAGUGGAAUUCCAUGUGUAGCGGUGAAAUGCGUAGAGAUAUAGAGGAACACCAGUGGCGAAGGCGACUUUCUGGUCUGUAACUGACACUGAGGCGCGAAAGCGUGGGGAGCAAACAGG
rnacentral:rRNA from 1 species